AUUGAACGCUGGCGGCAUGCCUUACACAUGCAAGUCGAACGGCAGCACGGGAGCAAUCCUGGUGGCGAGUGGCGAACGGGUGAGUAAUACAUCGGAACGUGCCCAGUAGUGGGGGAUAACCCGGCGAAAGCCGGACUAAUACCGCAUACGACCUACGGGUGAAAGCAGGGGAUCGCAAGACCUUGCGCUAUUGGAGCGGCCGAUGUCAGAUUAGCUUGUUGGNGGGUAAAAGCCUACCAAGGCAACGAUCUGUAGCUGGUCUGAGAGGACGACCAGCCACACUGGGACUGAGACACGGCCCAGACUCCUACGGGAGGCAGCAGUGGGGAAUUUUGGACAAUGGGCGCAAGCCUGAUCCAGCCAUGCCGCGUGCGGGAAGAAGGCCU
rnacentral:rRNA from 1 species